GGGCUGGAACCUCUUCUUGGCAGCUCAGGCCAAUGCUCUGGCUUCAGCUAGAGCCCCGGGAAGGAGUUGGGGGUUGGGUGUCACAAAGGCUGGGGCAGGAGCCCCAGGUGCUUCCAGUCUAGCCUUUGCCCUUCCUGACUUGCCAAAGAAAAUGGGCGGCUGCCUGGGCUAGUGUGUAGAGCAGUUUCCCUCUUCCAAGCGCACACCUGUCCCUGUGCUUGAGGGGGUUGCUACAUAGCGCCUUGGGAGCCUGGGUGUUUCUCUGCUUCUCGCCAGCUGGGGAAAAGCCUCUUGGGGUAAAAUCUCCUGCCCCACGGCAAAAGCGAGCACUGUGAGUGGGAACAGACAGAGGCCACACCAGGGGGCUGGCCCUGCUUUCCUAUCUUCUUCUGAUGUUGGCCACAGAGCAUCAGCAGCUGCCCUGCAUGCUGGUCUGCGGGUCGCUUUCAGUGGGUGUUUGGCAUGGCAGGAAGCAGCCUGGCUGGGGGUCUUUGUGGCUGUCUGCUGGCCAUGCAUAGGCAUGGUCCUCCCCUCCUCUUGCCCCACCUUCAGUUGCUCUGUGGCUUAUAAACCUUCCCUUGAAGCUGUCAGCACCAGCCGCCUCUGCUCUAGGUGUCCGGAGGAGGGAAGGUGUGAGGGGCUCCAGGCUGGGCUCCACCUCCCUCCUGCCAAGCCCUGACUAUUAAUCCCGGCCCUGGCACUCCUUUCUUCAAGCAUCGUGUGGGCCAAAGGAAAAGUGUGGCAGUAAGCACAAGGGCCAAACUUGUGGGCAUCAGGUGAAGCAGCAAGAAUCCCAACCACCAGGUCAAACCACAGGACUACAGGCAGCCAUAGCCACUUCUACACCCCAAUCAAUUGCAGCCAUCUCAACCAAAGACCUGGCUCCAGUGGGUGUGAAUCACCCAGCAGGAGGGAAAAGACUCACUCUUAAACAACUGGAGACAGGGAAAUUGAGCACUUUGAGCUCCAGGGCUUUACCACAAACCAGCACAAGGUCCCACUGACAUUUGAACUCAGACUGCAGGAUUCAGAGCCCUGAGUGCUGCCCAUUAC